UACGGAGGGAGCUAGCGUUGUUCGGAAAUACUGGGCGUAAAGCGCACGUAGGCGGCGCAGCAAGUCAGGGGUGAAAUCCCGGGGCUCAACCCCGGAACUGCCCUUGAAACUGCAGUGCUAGAAUUCUGGAGAGGCGAGUGGAAUUCCGAGUGUAGAGGUGAAAUUCGUAGAUAUUCGGAAGAAUACCAGUGGCGAAGGCGACUCGCUGGACAGACAUUGACGCUGAGGUGCGAAAGCGUGGGGAGCAAACAGG
rnacentral:rRNA from 1 species